rnacentral:misc_RNA from 1 species
AAUGAGAAUGAAACAGAGAGUGAGGAGCUCAAUGACAUUUUGACCGACGAAGAAAGAAGGCAACUAGAAGUUGCUCUUAAAUUGGAUUCAUCCGAAUUGACUAAUGAGAAUGGUGAUGGGAUUAUUGCUCAUCGUCAUAGCUGUUAUGAGCAUAGGGAGAUUCCUAUUGAAGAUGGGAAUAGUUGUAGAAAUGGAGAGACUAAGCAGGAAAAGAAAGGGUGGUUUGGCGGAUGGAGGAAACGGGAUUCUAAAGUUGAAGGGCAGAAGAAAAUUGUUCCACCAAGAAGUUCUCUUUGUGUUGAUGAGAAGGUGAGUGACUUACUAGGGGACUCGCCAUCUGGAAGUCAGACUAAACCAGGAAGACAUUCUGUCGAGAUUGUUGUGAGGGAUGAGCACCGGAAAGGAAGAGAUACUAAGACAUCUGCUUCUUUGAGUACCGAGAGCAGUAAACGGCGCAAGGAAGGAAGUCGUGAGAAUGAAUAUAAAAAGGGAUUGAGGCCUACUCUCUGGCUCUCACCAAACUUCCCAUUACAAACUGAGGAACUUCUUCCAUUGCUUGACAUCCUUGC